GAGUUUGAUCGUGGCUCAGAUUGAACGCUGGCGGAAUGCUUUACGCAUGCAAGUCGAGCGGCAGCGCGGGGCAACCUGGCGACGAGUGGCGAACGGGUGAGUAAUGCAUCGGAACGUGCCCAGUAGUGGGGGAUAGCCCGGCGAAAGCCGGAUUAAUACCGCAUACGACCUACGGGUGAAAGCGGGGGACCGCAAGGCCUCGCGCUAUUGGAGCGGCCGAUGUCAGAUUAGGUAGUUGGUGGGGUAAAGGCCUACCAAGCCUGCGAUCUGUAGCUGGUCUGAGAGGACGACCAGCCACACUGGGACUGAGACACGGCCCAGACUCCUACGGGAGGCAGCAGUGGGGAAUUUUGGACAAUGGGGGCAACCCUGAUCCAGCC
rnacentral:rRNA from 1 species